GGGCCGCCGUGAGUCGAGGCGCAGCUCCCGCGGGCGGACCUCCAGCUCGGCCUGAGCGGCGGAGCGGAGCAGCGGCAGCUCCACCGUCACCACCAGCUCCCGGGGCACCGGGCCGGGCGCCGAGUCGUGGCAGUAGUCCUCCGCCGCUGCUCCGGGUCGGCCAGCUCCGCCGCGUACUCGGCGAACAGCGCCCGGAACCGCUCGUCGCGGAAGGCCCGCUGCAGCCGCUCCGCUUCCUCGGAGCUCAGCUCCAGCUCCUCCAGCCGCCCCGGGCCCGCCAUGGCCGCGCCGGUUGCUGUGGAGACGCGUAAACAAGAUGGCGGCUCCGUUCUGGCCUAUCGCGUUGUUAUGGCGACGCUAAACAAGAUGGCGACACCCUUUUGUUGCUAUGACGACGCUAAACAAGAUGGCGGUGGCGCCGUCAGUCCGUUGCUAUGGCGACGCCGAGCAAGAUGGCGCCCCAGUGAGCUCCGCAGGGCCACAACUGCUGCAGGCUAUACCACCUGUGCAAAUCAGUACUGCCACGUUCUGAUGCUCCCGCAUGGAUUUCAAACGACCUCACCCCUGUUCUCUUUCGCCUCUCCCUGGCUGAGCACCACUAUCCACUGCCAGCACUAAUCAGCCCCUGGCAAAUCUGCCUUAUGCCUUUCCUGCUCCAAGACAAAUCCCAGCCUGCGCUGCCCUUCCUCUGGGUAGCAGACAACUAGCUCUCAGUUCUGCUCAGCAUAGGGAAAAACUGUUCUCCCUCUUCUUCACUUCCUUUCUAAAAGAUACCAAUUUCCUACACGUGCCUUUGCUUCUUCCAGGUGCCUUCUUUUCUUGCGUUGUGGAAAUUAAUUUUAUCUAAACGCAGCAUAUUUUUGUGUAAAAGUUUAUUUUCGUACAAAAUAAGCAUGGCUUUGACAUUUAUUAUGAACAGCCUGCAAAACAUCAUAAAAUCAAUCCAUCUAAACGAGUGCUGCAGUUGGCCUCACAAAGGCUCAGUCUCUUUUUGUAGUCUUGUAGAAAGUCAGAGACCCUGAAGCUUGCUGAAAAUACCAAACAAAAUAAAGGUUUAGUUAAAAGAAAUGUCAAUACAUACCACAUCAUUCUAUUCUGUGAUCUGUGUUAGACUUCAUGUUUUGAUCUAUCUAAAGACCUAAAACACCUCUUGGUAUGAUUAUUUCUGUAUUCAAGUAAAGACUGAAUUAAACACAGAUCUAUCUUUUAUCCCUUACAUCUUUUAUCCCUAUUCUACAGAAGAUGUCAAAAAGCUGCUGCAAAAAGACAUGAAAUUGAAUCAGAGGCAGACAAGACAAAUAGCAAUUUUCCUGUUUGGUUCUACCACUGUUAUUUCAAACAGAUGGAAAUUUUAGCACAGUUGUAAAUGUUUUGAUAGUGUUUAGUUUGUGUUUUUCUGUUUUUGCAACUGGUUUGUUUUUUUUCCAGCUGUUGAAAGACCACACUGGGAAUGAAUAAGCACACGUGUAAAAUACAUGAAAUCAGAGCAUAAAAAUGGCUUCUGAGUUUGAUUAUGAUCACAAAAUGAACCAAAAAUCAUUUCUAAAUGUGAUUAACCCAAUGCAACAAGUAUAAUGUUCAGAAACAAAUCUGUUUCCCAACUGGGUCUCAGUUACUGAAAAUCAUUUAAUACAAUCUAUGUUUCCGUUUACUUUUGGAUCACGUUCCUCAUCACUGUUUCCUGACCAUAACUUCUGAAUGUCUUAUUUUAGGUCUAGGCUUCUGAGCUUCUUAUGCUGCUGCGUUAACUGCUAGAAGAUUCAUUCUGUUUAUAUAGUUGCUUUUCUGUAUUCCUCCUGAUAACUAGAAAGUCAGCAAAUAAAAUGAAUAUAUUUACCUGUCUUCAACAGUCUUGUUGGAGGGGUAGAAUACCUUGAAAGAAAAGCCACUCCUUGGAAAAGAACCCUGUGAAGAAAAAUACACCACAAAUGUGUAAGUAUAACGCUGUACAGAUGGUCAGAGGCAGUAUGUAACUGCAUUCCCUUUGGCAAUUGACCCAUCAUUAAUUUUCCUAAUAUAUCAAUAAAGCAAUUUAUGAAUUCAA